GAUACAAGUUUUUGAGCUUACACACUUGUCUCUCUUGCCAAAAGAAGUUGGUCCAAUAAAAGAUAUUACCUCACCCACCUUGUCAUGAUUAUUUUUAUUGUUUGACUGGUUACCAACUAGUUGCUACUGAUAAACAGGGCUUUGAAGACAGCCUGAUCAUUUGAUAGCAUGAAUACAGCAGCCAUUUGGAAAUAAGCAUUAAUUGAAAAAAAUAGUGUGCACUGUUCAUGAUUCAAAGUUUUCUUAAACGAAGAUACACACCAAUGUGCAUGCUAGUGUUUUCUAAUGACAUAUAAAGAACUUAAAUAGACCUAUAAAUAAUACCAGAAUAUAUUUGUAGUGAUAUACUAUCUUCUAUAACUGUUAAAUAAAGGUAUUCAAGCCAAAAUGUUCAAAUUUGGAAGCCUAAAGAUAGGUACCUAAAUAAAUGGUCUGAUCGUCAGAGGUGCUGAGUACUCAUUCCUCCCAUUGGAGUAAAUAGGACCUGGACCUGCAAGUGUUCAGCAGCUCUGAAGUUCACACCAACCUCAGUCCUGCAGUCAGAUGAGUGUGGGCCAACCCCUGAAAUCAGUGAGAUUCCAUGUAGGCACCAGGGUCCACCGACCGUCUUCCAGUUCCAGAAUCAGGGCCACCGUUAGGCUACCUUUAGUCACUUAAGUAAAAAUAAUUUGCUGUCAGAGUUCAAGAAAACAGACAUUACUGUUAAAUUGCAUUUUUUUUAAAAAAGGCUCGCAACCUUCUGAGGAAGAAGAAUGCAGUAGCAACCGACUUAGAGAUCCUCAAGGACAGCAGAUAGUUUCUCAUAGGAAACAUGGCUUGGCAAAGCUUCAGAAAAUGACUUUGCCAUACCAAAAGAUGUCAAAACCUGAUAGCUUUAUAUUUUUAUGGGGUUGCCAAAAUGUAUCAUUCUGUCAGAUAAAAUGACAACUAUUCACUACAGAUCCUCUAUAUUUUUAUGGGAACGUCUCCAUAGUCCUACCUUCUUCUUUACUUGUUUCUUGAUGAGUAAGUCAAUAACCCUUUAUUUCUUUAUUAAUAAUUCUUUAUUUUGAAGUUGUUUUUGACAUAUUUGGCAUUCUGUAGCAGUACUUGUUAAACAAUGCUUUGAAUGGCUGCUUUGGCAUUAGAGAAGUUGCCCUUCAAGCUGAAAAAAUAUAACAGAGCAUGAAUCUAGUACACAAGUAGCUGAAUCCCAGUGUUCUGUUUCAGCGUGGCUGAAAUAUGAGAAACAAUUUAAUAGUUUCUGCUUUCAUUAGAUUUAUGCAUAGUUUAAAAACUUUUGUGAAGUACAGUUUCAAAGCCCUCAGUGCUGUUACUAUAGAGAUGCAGUCUGGCCUAUAUUAAUUUUUUUCUGUUAAGUUUCAGAUGACUUCAGUAUUAUCUGGCCUAGUUUCAGCAAUAGUCCACUGGGAAGGAAUCAGACUUAUGGCAUUUGGUUGCUCUGCACAGUUCAUACUCCAAGUUGGUUUGUUUUCUAUGAGACAUUUUAACAUAGUGGUUCCAUGUUGUUACAGCAUCUUGAAUUAACUGGUUGAUGGGUAGGCGUAGUCUUUUUUGUAUACGUGGUAGUAUAGAAAUUGCUAAUGCUGGGGGUUUAAAAUAGCCAAGAAGCUUCCAGUCCAGUAGCAGAUAUGAAAUAGUGGCUUGAUAAAGCAUCAUUAUUGACAGAGAUGAAAGCUGUGCAUAAACAGACCAAACUGUAAAUAUCAGCUUUUGGUGUUUGUUUCCAACAUUAUCUCCUCUCUGUAACUUUUAUUUUCUUCAAUAUUUCCCAAAAAACUCUUGAAAGUCACUGUACCUGCACUUGUGAGAGAGAGUGCAAAACUGCAGUUCUGUUAAAUUAGUUAUCAACAUAGGAGACAGGAAAACCAUUGAAGAACCCUGUUGUGUUAUUCUGGAGCUGUGCUUCAGUGGUGAAGAACAUAGGUAAUAUUUCUGUCGCCCCCAGCAUUAAUAGUUAUAGGCAUAUUCUUUCACAGAUGUCAGGAAUUUGAUUGAACAUAAACUCAGAUGAGAUAUUAUAAUAUGGUUUGAGAAUACUCUGCAAUAUAACAAAUCCCUUGUCUUUCAAAGUUGAAUAUAGAUCCAUAUCACAUGCAAACAUCUCACCAAGAGCAUUGUGUAGCACCAUGUCUGUUCAUGGCCCAGGCCUUCUUCUGAGUGUUAACAGUCACCCAGCAUAUUUCAUUUUGAACAUGACAGGUUUCCUUGGCAACCAUUUGAUUGAUGUGUCAGUCUUAGUAUAUCUCUGCAUGCCUGACCUGCACUUACUUCACCAUGGCAAUUGUAACAUACCCUGAAACUGCACCACCACAACAGAGAGUGGCUUUGCCAUUUCUGUAUUUAGCUUUGGCAGAAUUAUUUUCAUAGGGUCUAUUCUAAAGCCCACUGAAUCUUUCCAUUAACUUCAGUGGGCUUUAGACUGAAAGCCUAAUUCAGGUUGAAAAAAUGCCCACGCUAGGCACACCUUUCUAUUGCUCAUAUGCUUUCCACACAUUCAAAAUGGAGGUCUCUUGCCAAACGCUGCAUGAUUUCACAGGAUUCCUAGUCAUUGUACUCACAAACCUGCCACAUGACAGACUCUAUAUAGUAUUCCCUAAUGUUCAGAUUUAAUAAUACAUCAGCAGAAAGCAUCACCUUAAUAAUCACAUGACUGUUUGUUAAUUCAUGUUCACAGACUACAGAUAUUUGGAACAUGUCACAAUGUGUACAGAUCAAAUACAAAUCGAUCAUUACUCACAUCCCUACCGGCAACUGCAUAGCUCCGUCCCUGGCCAGCCUCCAAUCCAAGACAUUAUUGUUGCGGUGACUACUGCUGGGUAGCCUCCAGCCCUUGGAAUCUUUUCGUUCAUGUCGCAGGUUCUAAGCCACUACAUCUUCACAUUGCUCCACAGUGCUGCUUUGCACAUGCCCGUGGAUCUCAUCCUAAGUGGUCUUUGCUUUCUGCUAUCAGCUCAGCUUUGCAAUAUAGCUUAACUACUCAACACUUGAGCUUGAUCCCUACCAACUUGGGAAGCCUGGACCAUCGAAUUCAUCAGGCAUGCCAGAGAUGAGGUUGGUCCUCUGUCUCCCACUACCAGGUCUUCAGGGAAGGAUAUAAGUAUGUUAGUUUACGUAGUCUUUUAGAAUAGAAAUGUUAGCCCUAGCCCUGGGGCCUAGAAUUGUAUUACUGCUUUGUGACUCUGUGUUUUAUAUCUUUAAUUAUUCUUUCAUUUAAUAAAGAAAGAUAAAUCUUAACAUUU